UAUAACUAGUAUGACAUAUUUCAUGUAUAACCUGUUAUGGUUAUAUUACUAGUUAGAUGAAUCCCUUUAUUUUCAAAAUCAUGAAAACUGAUUCCCUCCCCCCUUCCCUCUCUCCCCACUUCCUUCCUUUGGUAACAGUGCAGAGCUACAUCGGAUUAUGAUUUUUAAACUUGUACUUACAAUUAUUUUAAGGCAUGAUGGGCAGGGACUAAGGAUGAGGCUAAAAUCUCCAUCUUUUAUACUUUUACUCAGCCCAGGGACAAUGGGCAUCUAUGGGUGGGGGCACAGUAUUGAGUUGGCAGCUGGACAGUGGGUCUAGAAGGAGACCCGGGAGAUUGGCAGAUGGUUAAUUGGAUGUGACAAAAGAGGGCUAGGAGGAGGGGUCUCGGCUCCUAGGGGAUUCCUGUCUCUGACUGCUUACUGUCCUGAAAGGAGGUGGUGGGGAAAGAGAGGAGUGGCUCCAGGAACAGUUGGGGAAAAGAUUGGCAGGACUCCAUGUCAGGGUGUGGCAGUGGAAGGACAGCACGCCAUAGGGAGUAAUGUCACAGCUUUAAGUCAGAGGGAAGGUGUAAGAUUUUAAGUCUCUUCGGUGUACACCAAUGCUUUGGCACAUACAUACUCAGAGACUUGGAUGUAAAGAGAUGCUUAACCAAAGAUUUUAACAGUACGAUUUUCAUGAUCCCAACCAGAGUUUUGACAGCUAAGUAUCAUUCCUCUUGAUGGGAAUUGGACAAAUAACUAAUCAAUUUUUAGCAGAGUACUGGAUUUUGGGAAGCAGAUCUCUUCAUUUAUUUUUACACUAAUUUAUUGAGGUAUCAAACACUAGCUGUGCACCUACUAAGCACCAGAUGCUGGAGGUACACAGACAAGUCAGAAAUAAUCUUUCCCACAAAGAGAUUAACAGCCUAAUGGGGGAGGGGGGUUGCCUGAUACAUAAACGUGAUUGCAGUGUAGUAUGAUAAGUGCAGUAAAGAGGAAUGCACACUAAUAUACAGAGGAAGGAUCAACAACCUCACCCGGAUGGACAUGGGGAAGAUUCAUUGAAGAAGGAGGGCUUGGGUUGAAAUAAAUGAAAAGGUGGUGCAAACAAGAAUAGGAGCAUAGACCACUAUUCAAGAAGCUUGGUAAUAAAAGUAAGGAGAAAAAUAAGAUGGUAAUAAAAAGGACAUUUUGGGGAUACUGAUCUUGUUCUGCUUCUAGACCACAGGUGUGUUCCUUUUGUGAAAUCUUAAUGAGCUGUAAACUUAUGUGCAAUUUUAUGCAUGUGUAUUAUUCUUCAUUCAAAAAUUUUAAAAGGUUAUCAGGUCCAGUGAAAUUUUUUUUUCUUUCAAAUAGAGAAAAACCUUUGAAUGUUUGAAAAAGUCAUAGGAAGAGACAAUGGUAGAGACUUAAAAUGUUAGAAGGUGGUAUAUGUGUGAGUGGGGUACCAGGGUGGCUACUAGCUUCCUGAAAAGUCAGAAAAGGAUGAGAUUCCUGGGCAAAAAGGUUAUCUCUGGGAUGGAUAAUCACCUUUUCUUCUGUGGCUAUGUGGAAAAACCAGGUGUUUUUCAGGUCGGUUGCUAGAGCUCUUAUUAAGCUGACCUCAGUCAUCUUCCUGAAUGGGAGCCAUGGUCAUCUGCAAGCACUGGGAGAUGCUGGGAGCCUGGGACGAGAGGAGAUGGACUGAAUCCAUUCUCUGGAGAAUGAGUGGAAAUUGCAUAAAAAAAAGAUCAGUUCAGUUAAUUUCAGACUGGGCUGAGUAUGCCUGGUUCCAACUCUUGCUCAGCCCUGGAGGCUCUGGAGUGGGGCUAAAAACUGUUUUUGGCUGGUGAUUUGGACGAUAUGUUGGGUGAGGAUGAGGUGUGCAUUUGACUUGUUUGAAUACCAUUCUCUUCCCCAAACCUAUGGAACAUCAAUGGCUUUAAGGCCUUUUGGAGGCCCUACUUUGGAAAACGUUUAUGUCUGGUUUCUCCAAGUAGGUUGUACACACCCUUUGCUUUGGACUUGUCUGUAUUUUGUCAAUGCCCAGGUUAGUGCCUUGCAGAUAAUACUUGUUCCAUUAGUAUUUGUUGGCCUGAUUUUUUUUUCAAAAAAGCUACUUAUUGGUAUUAAGCUAUUUGGGAGUAUUAUAAUGAAACACUGUGAUAAAGAAAUGUAUCUUUUUUUUCGUGGACAGGCAAUUCUGCUUUAAACAAAAGAUCUGUCAAGUCAACACGGACUGUAAAAUAGGCUAUUUGUUGUGUGGAUUACUUAGAGGUGACUUCUUUUAUCACUUGCUUAUAAAUAUUCACAUAUUUUAUAGGCACUAGAAAAAUAAAGAUUCGCUCUUCUUUUUGAAAGACUCAGGAAAGUCCAAUCAUGCAAAUGGAUCAACUAAUCAAUAUUUAGUGAAUGUCUGUCAUGUGCCUAGUAUUAUGCAGGUACUAAGGGGGCUACUGAAAAUGGCUAUCACAUGAUUCUUGUCCCUGAAAAGUUUGUGAUCUUGUUGGAUUAGGAAAAUGAUAGCUAAUUGGAGAACAAUCAAAAAGGGAGUUUUUGUCAUUCAUUGAUUCAUUUAAUGUAUAUUUAUUGUCUAUAAGCCCUAAGAGAUCAUUUAAUUUAAGUAAGUGGUAAAACAAGAUUUUAUUUGGAAAGACUCAAUUUUAGGUAUACCUUCAUGGAACAGUUUUUAUAUUGAAGUUUUUAAAAAUAUAAAGCCUUAUUAUAAUUCUGGCUAACUGUAGGGCAUUUAAAAAAUAUGAUGAAAUAUAGAGGAUAGAAAAGCCACUGUAAUUCUAUCACCCAGAGAGAACACCUGUUUGCUGAUAUGCAGUAUUUCCUUCUGGUCCAUUUUCCUAUGUGGAUUCUCUCCCUUGAUCCAUGGUUUGUUUUUUGAUUAUUGAAUUAUGAUGAAAAACAAAUGGAGGGGGUAGAAUUUGUCCAAAAUGCGGACAUUUUUUCCAGCUAACUUAAAUAUAUGAUACAUUCCUUCACAUAUAUCUAUUGAACAAAAUAAGACAUUUAUAAGCUGAUUGACAUUUACAUGGUGGUAACAUAGGAAGACAGAGGAUCCAUUCAUUGUUUGGGGAGUAAAGGUAUUGACACUAUUGUAAAAAAUAUUUACGCAAACAAAAGUACAAGAUAUAUGGUCAAAGUGAAUAUUCUUUCUCCCUCUUCCUCCCCUAUGUUUAGAUAAAUUCAACAGAUACAUGCAUGUACCUGUUGCAUAUGCAUCUUUAUACAAAUGCAUAGCUUUUAUUUCAUUUAAUAAAAAGAAGAUCAUGCUCUACCUGUUAUUCUAUAACUUGUUUUUAUCAUUUUAUAAUCAGGGACAUUUUUCUUUGUCAUUACCUACAGCUUUACCUCAUUUGUUUUAACAGUUGUGUUACAUUCUAUUGUGAGGAUGUGUUAUUUUGUUAAACCAUUCUCCUAAUGAUAGACAUUUAUAACCCAGAUUUUCUGUGGACUGGUGUUUGUUCUGGGACAUUAUUUGGUCCAAAGAGUAGCAAGAAAGGCCAUUCAUUUUUUUGAUCUUAUUCAAAGGUGACUGUAGGACAACUGUAGGUUUGGGCUGUUUUCUCUGCCUUUAUCCUCAGGAGAGGAAGAACAAUCAGUCCCUGUUCUCUGAAGGAUAAUUUUUUGUGUAAUGUUUAAGGACACUUUUGUUAGUGACAUUUAAAUAAAUGGUAGAGACCAUUCUUGACCUCUUUUUCAGUGUGCCUUAGGAGCCAGAUUUGCAGUCUCAAUUAGCCUAAAAAGCCACAUGUGUUCUUAGGCUUGAAUGUAAGUUAAUUCCAAUACCACAGUUAGCUAUGGCAGCACUUUAGAUUGUGUGUGCAAAAGCUAUAGCCUGUUCUUGGCUAGGAGACUCCAAGAAUGUCAUUCGGGAGACCUUGGUUUCUAAUUCUACCCACCACUAAAUAGCUCUGUGACUUGGCCAAACCCAGUAAUAUGCCUCUUUUUACAGUGGGAUCUCUCUUUCCUCAUUCAAAGAAAGCGGUAAACAUACUCGCCAUGCCAUACCUCAUAGGAAUAGUAUGAGAUAAAGUGAGAUGAUAGAAAGAAAAUGCUUUGGAAAGACAAAAUUGCUGACUAAAUGAAAAGGGAUUGUGUCAGCUGCUUCUCUGGGGUCUCCUUUAGUUUUGAGUGUGGUUGAAAGCUGAGCUAGGGGACUCAGAUGGGAGUGACAGCCCAUACUGCACUUUAGGACUAUACAUUUUUUCAUGUCUGUAAAGAAAUUGGCAGCACUAGAGAUGGAGUGAAACUUUUCACGACAUGUUCCAUUUGCUUUUGGAAAAGAGAUGUUUGCAUGAGAAUGGAAGAGUAGCUCAUCUAACUGCCCAGAAUGGCUGAAGUUUCCUUCUGGUGGGUAACAGUGUAGUUCAGUUGCACACUUACUUCUUGUUACCCAGAUGUGCAAAGAAAUUGUAGCUUUUCAAAUUUUCUAAAGUGGAGCCAGUCUUUCUGAUAAGCCCCCACCCCCAUUUUGCUAGUUUAUAUUAUUAUUUUUUUCUGGAUUAUUCUCUUUUGGAUGACUGUUUCUUUUAGGUAAAUUGCUCAGUUGCUCAGAUUUUUCUCAUGUUCCUUCACUUCUCUUCAGAGUGGGGUCUGGGUGCAUAGAGGUGUUUACAUGAACAUGUGUUGGUAGUGAUAGGAGCAAAAGAAGAAGGGUGCUUGGAGCCAAGGCAAGAUAGCUAGAUUCCCCUGGUCUUUGCUUCACAGGGGGCAGGGCUGGUCUGUCGACCUCUCUUGUUUUUUUGGAAUAUUGUGCUAAUACCCAGCACUAAAAUUUAUGUCCUACUUUCUGCCUAUGGGGUCAAAGGCCCUACCUAUAGCAGCCUCUUAGUCCUGACUCCAGGCCUUUCCCUAGUCACUGACUGAGUACCACCAUCAGGAAAUGAAGAAGUAUAUGGAUCCCAGCUUGCUACGGGUCAACUGUGAGAAGAUAGAACCUCUGCACUUGGCUCCCUAACUACACACUCACCUUGGCCAGAGCUGUGUUUUCGUCUGCUCAUCACCAUCUUCUCCCCUGCACAUCACAAUUGGUGAAAAGGUAGGCAUUUUUCUAGAGGCCUGCAACACCUCAGGAGUCCCUUAGGGUUCUCAGGUACCAUCACAACUAUUAGGAUAUUUCUAAAACUGUUCCCCAAGCUCUGAUUGAGCCUUGAAGUGGGAGUAUAUAUAGUGGAGCCUGAGACCCGGGUAUCUGAUCUAGACUGAAUUUUUCCCAUGUUCCCCAGAUGCCUGAGGAAAAGGGUUUUCCCUCUAUCCUUAUGGCAGGGAUCUCUCCUAUGUCAUAUCUUCAGUACUCUCUGUCUCUGGUUUAAAGAAAACCUAAAUGGUCAGGUCCACCCAGGCUGUAUCUUAAUAUGUUAGUGGGAGCUUGAGAAUUCAAGCUGCAUACUAAAAAAAUCCUAUUUUGGAUGUCAACAGCUGAACAUUGACACUUUCUUUUUUGCCUGCUGCUAUAACUAUCCUAAACUUCCUUGAGGCAAAUAGAUGCUUCUGGCAGAGUAAGGAGGAGGUUAAAUAUAUAUAAAGACAUGCAAAAGAGGAAAGUACAUUAUAUUUUAAAAAGUAUUACCCUAGUUAAAACAAUAAUUUGGGGGAAGAAAGGUUUAGAAAUGAAGCUCCUGAGAUUGCCUUCAUUGAGAUUCCAUGUAUAUACAUGUAUGUGCUUAUGCGCGUGUAAACAUGCAAGGGUAUGAUAUUAUUGAUUUUUCCAGAAAGGAUUUAGUGAGCCCUUGUUACAGAUCAUGGACUCAGGGGCAUAUGUCACAGUGUCUGUCUUCAGGGAGCUCCUGGUCUUAGGAGAACGAUGGAGUGGAAGUGGAUUACAUUAUGGAGCUGCAUUGCUGCUUUCUGAGAGGUUGGUGUUUGGUCUGAUAAACAUGACUAAUGGUUUGGUCUGGUUUCUCCUUACCUUUCUAGGUAACUCCGUAGUGGUGGCAUUGUUUGCUUGCUGUUGUUUUUAUCCAAAAUUCUUUCACCUCUUUUGAUGCAGGAAAACUUUUGUGUUUUAUACACUGUUCUUACUCCAGGGCCAUGGGAGUUCAAACAGCACUAGGAGCUUUGAGCAGUAUUUCUAUUUUGACCAGGGAAACUGGGAACUUUGUCCCCUGUGAAGGGGGCAGAAACUGGUAGACUGACAAGUCAAGCUGUGAGGGGCAAGUACAAAGCAAAAGUAACACAACAGGUAAGUGAUGGAGUCAGAUGCUUGGGUUCAUGUGGAAAGUGCCAUGGGCUAGGUUUCGGAACACUGUUGUUACUGCUAAGCUUAGGCAAGUCUCUCCCUCUCUGAGGCUUAAGAGGGUGUCGAGUUAGAAGGUCUCUAACACGUCUUCCAUCUAUAAUAUUAUGAGCUGAAUGGGUAGCAGUGAGGGACAGGGAAGCCCAGGGGCAUAGGAACCAGGUGGUAAGUGGUUUCAGGACCUUUAUGCCUGGUUCUCUGGAGACUUUACCUUUUUGAGGUCUUUCAUCUCUGCAGCUCAAGACUGCUUGGUCAGUUCCCCUGAUGCCAGAACUCAGAAGUGACCCAGCAUCCUUAUAUGGUGAACAGGAGCACUAAUCCCCUUGGGUAGAAUCAUCCUGAUGGUCAGCAAAUGAGUGGCCUCAAACUAUUUUGGUUCUUAAAAUCUUUUCAAAGAAGAAUCAUGUUUCUGGGAUUUCUGGGCCUGUGUUAAAAAGGCUACACUUCCUCAGCCUUUUCUUUUGGAUUCCAAGUCUGUGUGCCUAAACACCCUAGAUAAUACCUUCAUUAGGGACUGCCUUUCUUCUGGCUCUUCCAAGGUACAGUGAGGACUAACUUAUUGAUCUUCCUGUUAGCCCAUGUCCUUGAACUUUUCUUCUUUUGUGUCAGAUGGAGAAAAUGGUAAAAAGCAAUCCAGAAUCUUCUUUUCUUAGGGCAUGUGCAAUCCUAGCCCAACUCCAGCAUCUCAAAAAGAGAAAUAGGGCAAGCUGCCAUCUUGGCUUUCCUUCACAUUUCCUUCCACACAGAACUCUCCUUUCUUCCACAUUUUCUAGAGCUUUAGAGAAUUUACAUUUUGAUGGAGAGAAACAUACUAGAUUUCUAAAAAGUACACUAAAGCCUUCUAGGUAUAAGACUAUACUAGUGGAUAAUGGGGACAUAAACGAGGAAUUAAGUGUAUUUUGGUGGAUAUGGUGAUUAUCAUAGAGUAGGAGUUGAUUGAGUGGCGUUUGGAAGAGGGGUUCAUUAUCCACAGUGACAAAUGGGAAGGGACAUUCCUAGCAGAGGAAGAAAGGUGAGCAAAUGCAGAGAGUUGGGUAAACAUCAUGGAGAAUUAGAGGAUUGUAGGGAGAGAGGGACUGGAGAGGCAUGUGAGGUCUUGGAUUUUCUCAGGAGUUGAUUUUAUAUUCUAGGAUUUUGAUUCAAUUUUUAAAGAUAUGGGCUCUCACUGUAUCACACAGGCUGGAGUACAGUGGCACAAUCAUAGCUCACUGCAGCCUUGACCUCCUGGGCUCAAGCGAUCCUCACACCUCAGCCUCCUGAGUAGCUGGGACUCCAGGCAUAUGCCUGAUUCUGGAUUUGGGUUUUAUCUUAUAAGCACCAGGGAGUUAUAAAGGAUUUUAAGAAUUGAAGUGAUGGAAUUAAAAAAUCUAAUUUAGAGGGUUAAUAUAGCAUUGGAAGGACAAAAUUGGAGAUAGGAAUUCUAGUUAGGAAACUACUGAAAUAUAGUUGAUGAUACAAGAAAUUUAAUGGUAGGGGCAUCUGCAGGAUUUACUGUCUAGUUGAUGUCAGGACUGAAGGAGAGGUGAAGUCUCAGAUAAUCUCCAGGUUUUGGCUUAGAUUACGGGUGAAGUCUCAUACAAUCUUCAGGUUUUGGGUUGUGGGUAAAGGCUGAUGGACCAAGCCUGACAUCAUAGGAAUCACAUAGGAAUAUAGGAACACUUGACACGCUGCUAUAGCUUCUACUGUAAAAGGGUUUAGCACUGCUCCAUUCUUCAAACUCUUUACAUAUUUUGAAUGCAAAACAUCAAAAAGAAAACUCAGAGUGACUGAUGAUUGGACAAUUAUAUACUCAGACAACUUUUCCCACAAGUUGGGCAAGUCUGCAUGCUUACGUAUGCUUAUAUGUGCUGUGUGCAUGCACAUGAUGUUGCUCAUGCUUUGGAUAUGAAUGUGUAUGCUCGUUUGAUUGUGUUGGGUUCUUGACACAAUGUCAUUUUUCAGCAUUAAAAUUCUCAUCACCUAGCAGAAAUGUUCUCUUUAAGAUCCAUUUCCGGCCAGGCGCGGUGGCUCACGCCUGUAAUCCCAGCACUUUGGGAGGCCGAGGCGGGUGGAUCACAAGGUCAAGAGAUCGAGACCAUCCUGGUCAACAUGGUGAAAUCCCAUCUCUACUAAAAAUACAAAAAAUUAGCUGGGCACGGUGGCACAUGCCUGUAAUCCCAGCUACUCAGGAGGCUGAGGCUGGAGAAUUGCCUGAGCCCAGGAGGCGGAGGUUGCGGUGAGCUGAGAUUGUGCCAUUGCACUCCAGCCUGGGUAACAAGAGCAAAACUCUGUCUCAAAAAAAAAAAAAAAAAAAAAAGAUCCAUUUCCACUUGGCUUGUUGUGCAUAAAUAUUCAAGUGGGAUUGAUUGCUUGUGUCAAAUUAAUUUUUUUCCCUUCCCAGGGACAGUGUCUGCAGUGUGCAAAAUGGGGAAAUCCUCAGAUUUCUAGCCAAAUACAAAGCUCAGAUAUAGGAGUAAAGUCAGGCUUGGGUCAAGAAUUGUCCUAGAUAAGCCAUAGAGACUGCACCUAGAUACUUAAGCUAACCUUCCCAAUAUGCUUUGUGACUGUUUCCUAGGCAACAGGAAAACCCUAGGCUAGGUAGAGAUGGCUGCAUAUGAGAGGCUUGGGUCUUUUCAGCAUGAGCUGCAGUACCAUACCCUCCUCUGUAUCUUCCUUUUGCUGCUUUGUUUAAAAGGCUGAAGUGGCUGGGUGUGGUGGCUCAUACCUAUAAUCCCAGUACUUGGGGAGGCCAAGGUGGGAGGAUGGCUUGAGCCCUGGGCAACAUAGCAAGAUCCCAUCACUUAAAAAUAAAUAAAAUAAAAUGUUGUAGAAGCCUCUGGAGGCACAUGGAGAACAUGCUAAAUAUCCUCCUUCCCUACCUGACUGCUAUGCAAACUUCACAGAACUCUGGGGUAAUUUUUCCUUCGGUUCCAGUCCUGACACUUCCCUGAAGCUAGGGUGGAACCUCAGGAUGUACCUGUAAGGCCUUUCCCUAACAGGUGGCCCCUAUUUUCAUGGUGCUCAGUUAGCCAGCCUUACCACAUUUUGCCCGACUCCAGACACCAGACAAGGGACCUUCAAACUGUCUUUCCUAAACUGGAAACUUUGGCCAACUGACCUAUACAACAGGGUAGUCAAGACUCUAUUGUCCACAGAUGAACUAAUUUGUAUCUCAGCAGUAGGAGCUUUGUGAGUUGUAUGAUACAGUUUUGCUGAGGAUUAUUAUAUAUUCUUUUCCUGUAACCUGGAUUUCUGGAAGUCCUGAUUUACAUUUAUUAACUUUAACUGUGUGGGUUGCGAUUAUCAGUGGUUCCAACCAAAGGAUCUCUAGGAGUUUAUCAUCUAUAUAAUCUAGCUGAAUACAGUUUUUUAAUUAGUAGAAGUUAUGGCAAAUAGCUUACUCAGCCAUUAACCAUCAGGACCCUUGAACUUUAAGAAGAAAGUGGGUGAAUUCCUCAUCUCAGAGAGUAGAAUGGUAAACUUCUGGGGGAAGGGGCUUUGGAUUCCAUUUGCCAAAAACUUUUACAUAUAUCGAUAACAGAAAUGAUUUUUAGCAUUUGCCAACAGAUUUUGUAAUGUAUCACUUCUAGCAGAGGGCAUGCAUAGGACUUGGUUAUACAAUUUAAUUUUUUGUUAUUUCAUAGAAUCUGAUGGUAAUGUCUGGAUUUUGCGCUGGGACAACUGAGUGUUGGAAGAGUGCAGGGUUCACAGAAGUCUGCCAACAGUUAGCGAGAAUGUUUCCUCUUCCCUGCUCCUGAUGCCACCAGAUACACCUCUUGAAUCCAAAAGGAGGUCAUCUAAUUUCUUCUCUCUACCCUGGCCUAGUUUCUAAGCUCUGACAGCUAUUCGCUCUAUUCUAUCUAGUUUGUUUUGAAGUAUUUAUUCAACUUGUUAUGCAUAGAAGUCAUUCUCCGAGACAUAUUUUUAGACCACCUUAAUUACUCUAUGUAGCAUGAUUCUAGGCAUUGAAUAGGCCUGUUUGUGAUUUCCCCCCUUAGACUUUUUUUUUCUUAUGAGAAAGACGAAGGCAGCUCUCCAGUGGAGGUCCUCUCUGACAGACUCAUGGGUUGAGUGUGUGAUCACAUGUUACUUUAGGUUUCCUGGAGGCCAUAGAGCAAUGGAACUUCAGAUUUGAUGAGAUCUGACUAUAGAGGUGGCACUCUAAAAUCCCAUCCUUAAUCUCUUUAAUACAGAGGAGGAGGGCAAUCUCUUUCAAGCACUCUAGUAGGUGCCGUUUUUUCCUCAUGCCAAGUCUUUUUCAUUCUUAUGCAGUGGUUCUGCACCCAGACACACGCCUUAUUCAUUCACUCCUUCCAGGACCCCCAGCACUGAAGCUUUGUUCUCUUUUCCAUUUCUGGGUUGUUGGAUUUAAUGUGACCUUUGCGUAUGUCAGCUUGAAUGGUGACAGCCUUCUGAAUUCCUGGGGAGCCUUUGUGCAGAUUAAGAACAAAGGAGGCAGUUUAUCUCUUCAAGUGUCAGGACUUUUAAUCCUUUGUACUUUAACCUCCCUUUCAGGGUUUAACUUUUUGCCAGCCCCUUGCCUUGCAGGUCUUGUGUAUGCUGUAGGUGAGGGGGCAUUUUGCAAGCGUCGCUCAGGUUUUGAAAGGAAAUUUGUGUUUAUCUUCUUUUGAGGGGAGAGGAAUCCCCCAAAAUUUGAUCACUGGAAGUCUUUCUUUGGAUGUCAGUGGAGACCCCAAGUCAUCUGGCUGCCUUGUGCAGUUCUAUGUCUGUAGCAUGGUGUAAAGGGGUAUGUCCCCAGCCUGAAGAGGGGAUUCCUGUAUGCUGCUCUCAGCUAUUAUGCUCUGGUUUCCUCUGUGAUUCUGGGCAGGCCACUGUACCUCUCUGGGCCUGAGUUUCUUCACUGUAAAGUGAAAGUGCUGAAAUGGAUUAUCACUGAUGUUCCUUUAAUCUCUUGAGAGUCUAUGGGGUCUCUGAUAAUUUAGCUUAUCUCAACUCUGGGAAAAUGCAUCCGAUAAUGAUUAUCUUAUGCCUGGGGGUCCUCGUUCUUAGAAAUGACACACAAAAUGUAUAAUAACCUGCCACUGGCUGGUGUCUGUCUCUAGCCGUUAGAAAUCCAGCCACAGCAAACCUCCAGUCUUGCCAGUCUAGAUGAGCUGUACAAGCUAACUUCUGAGCCAGUUACAGUAUCCUUAGUUUAUAUUUUUAUAGGAGCCACCAAAUAUUUAUGGGCUUCCCAGGAAAGUUCAGUCAAUAAUGUUAGCAUAGCUAUAAUCUAUAUGUAACAACUACUCCUUAACAUGAUUUGUUUUCUCUCUUGGUCUGUAAGAGGAUUUUUUGAAAGGAGAAAAGUUUUGUUUGAAUUUUCUCAGAAACUCCAAGUUCUUUAAAUUGGAUAUUUGGCAAAUCUUUUUCCCCAGAGUUAUCCAUAAUGGCUGGCCCUGCCAGAUCUUUUUCCUCUCUCUUAGAAGGAGUUUUAACUGCCAUUGAUUUAUCCCUUACCACAUUUGGCUUUGUGAAGAGCUGGUGGGGAAGAUGAUCCUCAGACUGCUUCUUCCUCUGGAGAUUAAGCCUUCAGACCGGGUCCUGUUGUUUUUCUUAGUGCUUCCCACCACACCACCCCCUCUUUUGCCACUCUGUCUUCAGGUAUGAGGACAGUUUUCUGGAAGCUGGGCAGAGAGUGAGGAACUGGGAUUGAGGGAACAGAAGCAAGUUUUAAAGGUCAAGACAUUCUUAUAGUUUAUAGAAUGAUCAAGUAUGAGAACCAGAGGGGAAAACCUGGCCAGAAUCAGGCCAGCAAUAGGCCAGGAGUCAGGAAAAUAGAUAAAGGCCAAGAAGAUGAAAUGGUGAAAGGUCAAUCAUGGAUGGGAGUAUACGAUGCAUUCAGCAUCCAGGGCAUUUGCAGAAGCAGGAGCCAGAGGAGAGAGGGGAAGGAGAUGUGAGUUUAGCUGCAGCAGUCCUUAUUGAUUGAGGAGUCUCCUUGCUUUGGCCCUGCCAGCACUUGUAUGGGUGCCAACUCUCAAGCAGAAGGAGCCUGGGCCUGGGUGGUGGAGUCCAGUGAAAGAACCUAGCCAAGGCACAGUUCUUGAUGUCAUAAGCUGCUGCCUCCUUACUUCUCUCUGGAACAAGCCAUCCUGUGAGGCUUCAUCAUUUCUGCUGCUCAAGGACCCUCUGUCCUUUCAAUUCAGUGAGUCUGCAUGUGUCCAGGUUUAUUCCCUAGGCCUGGGGUUUCAACUUGACGGGUCAGCCUAUCUGAUACAUUAAGAAAGUGAGACAGGGCAUCUGUAUUAGUUCCUUUUCAUGUGGCUGAUAAAGACAUACCCAAGACUGGGUAAUUUACAAAAGAGGCUUAUAAUGAAUUUACAGUUCCACAUGGCUGGGAAGCCUCACAAUUAUGGUGGAAGGCAAGGAGGAGCAAGUUAUGUCUUACAGGGAUGGCAAAAGGCAGAGAGAGCUUGUGCAAACUCCCAUUUUUAAAAUCAUCAGAGCUUGUGAGACUCAUUCACCAUCACCAGAACAGCCCAGGAAAGACCUACCCCCAUAAAUCAGUCACCUCCCACUGGGUUCCUCCCACAGUAGGUGGGAGUUACAAUUCAAGAUGAGAUUUGGGUGGCGACACAGCCAAACUGUUUUAGCAUCCAAAUUCCCCACAGAAUAUUAUCCUUUAGCCUGGUGGUCUUUAGAUGUAUAAUUUCCCCUCUUCAGUUCAUAAUAACAGAGCUGCCCAUAUAUCUUUCUCUGUGUCUUUGGUGAUGCCCUAUAUUUGUGUUCUCGAGUCCUUGGGAUGAGUUAACUCAUUUUGUUGGGUGGACCAAAGAGUCCUUCUGGCCACAAGUAAAACAGAUUGUAAACUAAAGAUGUCUAUUUACCUUUGUGCUUUUAUUCAGUAACCAAGAGGGGCCCUUCCUGCUUUUUGAUCCAGUUCUCUUCCAAUUACCUUUUUCCUCCUUCUCAAGCUUGAAAGUUUUGGAUCUAUGUAUCUCCUGUGGUACCUGAGAGCACCAGCCUUAUCUGUGGCUUGGCUCAGCAUGGCAGACUUCAGCCUUGACCUGCAAUUGGAUUUUUCUGGGAAUUCCUUACUAGAAUUGAUCCAGCCCAAUUAAAUCAGUAAGCUUCCCUCUAGUAUCUGUCUUCUCACCCUUCACUCAUAGAUUUGACAUCUGUCUUAAUGUUUUCCAAAUUGGAUCAGUCAUCUUCCAGGCUGAAGAUGAAAGAGUCUAGAUUUAUUUGAUAUAUUCCUAUGUAUUUAAAAAACUAUAUUAUUUCCAUAUUGUAAACAUUCAAGUUAAAGUUUGAAUCUUAAUAGUAGCUUCUUUAAACAUAAUUGUGAGAAAUGUCACUCUGUGUUGAUUGUUGAUUUAUACUUGGCUGGGACUAGCUCUGAUUCCAUUGGUUAUGUGUUCCUUGUAAUCCUCUUCCUUGUCCCUUCCUUCCUGAGACUCUCAUUAUAGAAGAAAAAAAGGAAUUAUAUAGUGUGAAGAUCCUUAAACUUUUUCAGUUCACAGUACCUUGACAUCUCAGUAAGUUUUCUGUGGCACCCUUAGGUAAAACAGAAUACUUAGAUUUGUUGAUUAAGUAUUAGAUCCAAACAACAAGUACUAAUGGUCUAACAAUCUAACAGGCAUUUGAAAAAAUGAUGCAUAUAAAUUAAAAGUAUUUUUCUUCUUUUCUUAUUUACUUUUUGACAAAUAAUUCUAUAUAUUUGUAGUGUAUAACAUAAUGUUUUGAAAUUGUGGGAUGGCUAAAUUAUGCUGAUUGACAUAUGCACUACCUCAAAUAUAUUUUUUUUUUGUGAUAGGAACACUUAAAAUCUACCCUCUUAGCAAUUUUCAAGUAUACAGUACACUGUUAUUAAUUAUAAUGACCAUGUUAUACAAUAUAUUUCUUGAAUGUAUUCCUCCUGGCUAACUUAAAUUUUGUAGUCUUUGUCCAGCAUUUCCUCCUCAGUCUCCCCAAGAAAAGUACUUUUAUUUCAUUUUUAACAAACCAUAGUUACUUAUCAAUGAGAUGUGUGUGCCUGUUGGGCACUGCACAGCUUCUCAGAGGCUGGACUCAGAUUGCAUAUUGCUUCCUUUACUUCCUGUUCUCCAUUGAUUUUUGUGCUGUGCUUGCUUUUUAUCAUAGAAAUUGCUCCAAAUCCAGUUUUGCAAAGAUAAGACAUUGAAAGGUAUGGAGUGUGAUUUAAGGUUGAAAUUGAGAACUACUUUGUGCUAGUAGCUUAUGCAAUAUCUGACAGAUGCCAAGCAUUUGAUGGGUUUCCCUCAAAAAUUUAAAAAUUCACAGAGCCACUAUGAAUUUUCUAUGGUGGCCCAGGGUGUCUUGGUGCAUAGUUUGGGAACCAUGGGGAUAGUGGAAUAAAUCUUUUCUGGGAGAAAUUUUGGUGCUUUUUAUCCCCACUCAGCCUGGUUGCCAUUGUGUAGGUUGCCAGGCUUCUCCUGAGAAUCUCUUAGCUUCCAAGUGGCUUUGAUUCUCAAGGGACUCUUUCUCUCCAUUCCCUAUUGGCUUUGGUGACCAUUUUUGAGGCUGACUGGUAUUUAUUAGAGUCUAUAUCAGGGAGUCCUUUCUGAGAAAGGGUUAGGUCUUGGUCCACCAAACAUAAGAUGAAGGGGAGGUGAAAGCAGCACCAGGUAGAGCAUUUAGGGUGCGGGCCAGAUGCUCAUAGUCAGCAUCAGCUCUAUACUUUGCUGGGCCCAGGUCAAAUGGAAAUGUGAAGCUUCUUGUUCAAAAAUGGCAAAAAAAAAAAAAAAAAAAAAAAAGUACUAUUGUAGGUGUUAAUAUAUAAAAUGCUUUCCUUUCUUUUACUGUCUCUUUCUUGACCUGUCACUGUGUGUUAUAUUUGCUAUUUGAUGUUGUGCUCCCUUAGCGCACAAGCUACUUAGGAGCCAGUGCAAACCUCACAGGUGUUUGGCUCUCUUCUUACUUUGUGAUUUGGUGCACAUGACCUACUGGCUGCUGGGUUCCCGCUUCCCCCAGUGGCAGGACUGAGCCCUAGCCAGAAGCAGAGAAAUUGUUCCAGCUGUCUCUCUUUCAUGGGCCUGCUGCUUCAACCCAGAGUGGACAGCCUCCAAGGAUAUUGCAAGCACAGGGAAGUGCUAGGCACCUGGAUUGUGGGUGGGCAGGAGGCUUGCUGCUGAGUUGCUGAGCAUGCUGUGAUGGUGCUGCCAGUUCAAGGGAGGGAUGGCUGACACCAUGACUUGCCUGGAGACAUUGUGGGGUAUGUGCACCUGACCUCCACCUUCCCUCUGCUAGGUGGAAGGGGUGGGAAGCUAGGCAAGGCCCGGGGCCUCAGUGAUUGGGGAAAUGGUUAGCCAAGAGCCUGUCCUUAGCAGGUGGCUGGAGGUGGACUCUCAAUAAGCCUAGGUCCCAACUCCCAGCACAUGUUCCUUUAUUCUAUCAGACUUCACUUACAAAACAUAGAUUCAAAAAUUAAAUUAUUAAGAAAUUUGAGACAGUGACCAUAGGGCCUUAAAUCCCAAACACAGGGCCUUCUGAAGACCCUGUGCAACUACACAAUUAUGACACUGCCCCUGGGGAGGGAGGCAAAUACAGGGGAGAAUUCUACCUUGUGACUGAUCAGACUGAGCUCCCUGUUGCUGAAUUAACUAAACUGUGGUUCAUUGCUGCACUCAGAUCUCUGGUAGUGUUUAGAGCCAGUUUGUACUGAAUGCCCACCAUGUGUCAGGCUUCAUGCUGAAUGCUUUUUUCUGUAGUAACUCAUUUAAUUUUCAUAAUAACUCCAUUUUACAGAUAAGAAAACUGAGGUUAAAUGACUCGCUCCUAAUCCCACAGCAUGUAAGUGACAGAGCCAAGUUUUGAAGCCAGGCAAUACGGCACCACAGCCUACUUCCUUGCCAGUUCACCAUUCUUUUUCUGGGUAUCAUCCAGCUUUUCUUCAUAACAAUGGCACUAAGUACCUCUUUAUUUCCUAGUUCCAAAUAAAACCCUCUUGUUUGGUUCCACAUGUAUUUCCAGACAAGGAUAUUUAUUUUUAAUUUGAAAGCUUUCUUCAAAAUGAAAUAAUCUAAUUUUCUAAAUAUGUUUUCAAGAACAGUAUGUUGCUAUAUCUUUUUAAAUCCCCAGUUUUCAUCAGGCCAUGACACUUUUCAACAUGAUUGUUACAGUAACAGUCAGGGGCUGAGGUUUGAGUACCUUUGUUUUAGGUGCCAUCUCUGCUGACUGUCAACAGGUGAUUGGGGGCCUGAGGGGCAGCACUGUAGCGAGUCCACUCACUCCACGUGGUACAGCUGAGGACACCAGGAGCAGAGCACAUUCUAUGGCACAAGUGCUUGUUGUAAAAAAGUAGACUAUUUAUUUAGAACAACGGAAGAGCAGUUAUUUUACUUUCUAAGACUUGCUGCUCAAAGGGUGGAUGGUGGUGACCUGGCGGCAAGGGCAUCACCUGGGAGCCUGUUAGAAAUGCAGGAUCUCAGGCCCCUCCUUGCUGAAUUGGAAUCUGCUAUUAAAAAAAGCCUCAGGCAGUUCAUUUGCACAUUUGUAAAAAGCUGUUUUAAGCCUUUGAGUGUGUAUUUUCGUGAUUAUUUCCUUUACUACUUCAAUGGAAGGACAGCCUUUGUCACUGAGGAUAAACAUUCUGCUUUGGGCUUGUGUGGCCUUCUGUAGGCACCUGAGCUCCUUUGAGCUUCAGUUUUUUUCUGUUAAAUGAAGACAUUGGAUCAGAUAAACUCUGUGGUCUAUCUUGGUUCUAUGGUUUUAGUAAAAAUCCCUAAGCAACAGAGCUUUGUAACAGUUUAUUGCUUCUAUUUAAAGCCAUCUUUGGGCAUUUACACAUUUUUAGCCUGUCUGCUUUAUCCUAUAUCCAACUGCUAAAAUCCAGUCUCCCAGAAUGUGACCUACAGCUGCCUGCAUCAGACUCACUCAGGGCCAUUGUGAAAUGCAGAUUCCUGGGCCAUAGCUUUAGCCUUCUUGAAUCAGAGUCUCUGGGGACAGGUCCUAGAAAUCCACAUCUUUAACCUCUGCAUUAGAGUGCUGGUAUUAACAGUUUCUUGCUACUUUCUAAAUACAAAGGUCACUAGGGGUUUUCUUCUCUCAUCACUUUCUCUUGUUUUUUAAAGUCAUGUACUUCCUUGGUGCCUUAGAAAAAUGGAGGUCCAAUGGAAGAAAGGAGAAUGCUGGGAAAGGAAGCUAGUUUGGAGAGGGGAGACGUUGAAUUUGUGGUGACAGCUGGUGAUUUGAAUGAGAUUGUCUAGAAAACAUACCAGGCUAUGGUACUGAAGUAUACCAUAUAGAACCGGGGAGCUAUGGGUUUGGGGGUGCCCUGAUGUAGGACUGGGAACCUGGUCACCUUGGAGCACUGAGGUAUGUAAAGGAUAAAGAAUGAAAUACAUUUAAGUGUAAGAAGACGUGUCUGAAAACGGCAGCAGAGUCUUUUGGGCAGUGGGAGGAGAGAGCUAGCUGCACAGAGAACCUAAGUGUUCAGCUUUGAGGACUGCUCAGAGUUAGACGGUGAGAGGAAGAGAGGAGUUAGUGAGCCCUCCCAGGAGAGCUUGGAGAGGCAGAGGAGAGCUACGACAGCCAGAGGUGAGAACAGCAUGGAGGAGAGAAGAGCAUGGAGGUGGUCAUUCAGUCAAACACUAGAGGCCAGUCUGUCUCCAGAAGGACUUGUGUACUUGGAAUGAGGGUUCAGUGUCUUUAAUCAUAUCGUGGCAGUCAGAUUAUAUGUGAUUUAAGAGGGCAACAGGAAGGGAGCAGAGGAGGGGAGGGCCUGUGAUUGUGGUGACAUACUACUCACACUUAUGCAGAAUAGGGGAAACACUGGGUCAUUUCGAGGGGCGUGGUCUCCUCGGCGGAGGGAUGGGUAUUCACCUUUGGCGCCUGUACAGUGCUUACAAGGUAGUGCCUGUGAUGUUGCCAGCUCGGGAAGGAAGUAAUGUGGGUACAAUGGGGGAAGAUGGUUGGUAAAGACACAAACAUUCUUGGCCAGUUGGCAAACAUUAGGAGCAGCAAGCUGGAGGCAAACAGAUACCAGUGUUUAGCAAGAUGUUAGGACAUUUUGGAAGCAAGAAAGCCCUUCUUUUCAGCCCACUUCCAGGAGGGAUUGGUAAUUUUCUUCCUCACUUGAACUUUGUCAGCUACUUAACAUAAUUCAGACAUACUGUACUCUAUUUGGCAGAUGGUCAACUUCUCUGGGGAGUUGAGAUCACGGGCACCAUCAGGUCAAUUCAACAAGCAUGUCUUGAGGGUGUUCCACAUGUAAAGCACUGACUUUGGUUAGCAGACAUCAAAAAAGGCUGGGCCAGCCCUAUUGGUGACGUGGUUCUGAAUGUGUGUUGCUUUCCAGUUAGUUCAGUUAUCAAGUGAGCUACUGAGAAGCAAUCAGGAAAUUUUGUUGUAAGUGAAGAAAAAUACACACUUUAGUGCCACUAGCAAGACAGAGAAGGUGAUUUUAGGGAACUGUUAGAAUUCAGUUAAUUUUGAUCAACAUUUGUCAAAUGAUUGAGGUUUGAUAUGCCCCAUGUUAAGAAUUUAGGCUACAGAGAUAAAUAAGAUGGCUUUGGCCUCAAGGAGUUCAGAGGCUGGCAGGGGAGACAACCAAGACAUAAUUACAGCUUAUCCUACACAUCCUGCAAUAGGGUCACCUCUGGAUGCUAAGGAAGUAUAAACCAGAAGGACUGGGCUCAGGAGGUGAUUCUGAUUAAGCCUUAAAGAACAAGUAGGAGUUUCAACUGCUGAGAGACUUGGAAAAAAAAAAAAAGUAAACGAGAGGAUGUGAUUCCUCUCUGGCAGCCAUUUAGAGGCAGGACAUGUGGUUGUGGUUUGUGGAGGUCUGCUAGGGAACUUUCAGGACUUUUAGCUGCUGAAGAGCAGGCAGGGUAGCAGUGAAUGACCUCUUCUCUGUACUGUUCUUUCACAUCUCUCCUCCUUGUUUCUCUUUACUCAAAGAAGAAACAGUAAGAAAAGCAAUAAUAAUUAAGGCCCAUUCCCCUUGCUGACCUCCCGCCACACACACUGCCCACCCAGGGCUGAGGAGGAAAUCCAAAGGUGCCCAAAGACACCAUCUGGCCAUUGUAUGAACAGAUUAUCUGGGCACUGAAGAAGAUAAUGUGGUAUGUCUGUUAGGACAGUUUUUUUUUUUUUUCUGAGACAGACACUCGCUCUGUUGCCAAGCAAUUCUCCUGCCUAAGCCUCCCGAGUAGCUGAGACUAUAGGCACGUGCCACCACACCUGGCUAAUUUUUGUAUUUUUAGUAGAGAUGGGGUUUCACCAUGUUGGCCAGGAUGGUCUCCAUCUCUUGACCUCAUGAUUCGCCCAGCUUGGCCUCCCAAAGUGUUGGGAUUAUAGGCAUGAGCCAUUCAUUGUGCUCGGCCAGGACAGCCUUUUGGUUUGGGGUUGAGAAUCUCAAAGGUGGCUGUCUGCAUCUGGAAUGGCCCAGUCUUGCUUUUCUUUCUGACUUGAUACUCCUUGAGCUACACAAACAUUGUUUCUGGAACAAGAGUAUUCAGACAAAGACAAGGACAAUGUGUUGACCCCUCAAGACUCUCUCCCCAGAAAGAACCCCUCAUCCUUGUCUUUGGGAGCUUGCCCACCUUCCCCCCUUCCCUGAGUAGCUGACAGUGGACAUGCGCAGUGCUGUUUCCUGUGUGUGUUGUGUGUCUCACGUGGUCUUGGUUACAGUGGGGCAGGAGCUACAUUGGGAAGGUGUGUCUUUUCCAUUCAGGAAAGACUGCUUUGUAUUAAGUUUAUACCAGAAUUGAGUGGAAGGAGUUCUGGAGUAAGAGAGGUUUCUUAUUUUCAAAGACGAUGAAGGAAAAGCAUAGCAAGGAAUAUAGAGCAUUGUGAUGACAGGGCUGGGUGCUGGUGUGGCUUUAGCAGCAGCAUAUGAGCUAACACCGCAACAAUUUCAGGAAGAUGAGCCCAGUCCUGUGUAAGGAGGAGGUGUAAAUUCAGAAGGGUUACAUAUUUUGGGUUGACGUUCAGGAAAUUUGAAUUUAGGAUGGUUAUUAGAUGAUACUAUGAAUUAUUAUUAAUUUUGUGAAGUGUGGUAAUGGUAUUGUAGCCGAGUGCCCUCAUAUUUAAGAAAUUCAUAUUGUAGUAUUUAUAGGUGAAAUGUUAGGAUGUCUGUAACUCAUUUCAAAAUGAUUUAGCAAAAAUGAUGAAACAAAUAUGGCAAUAAGCUAAUAAUUGUUAAAUCUAGGUUACGAUGACUAGUUAUGCUAUUCUUUCUACUUUUCCACAUGACUAAAACAUUCCUUAGUUUAAAAAAAAAAAAAAAAAAAAAAAGAGUACAGGCUCUGAAGCCAGACUGCAUGGGCCCAAAUCCUGGUAUGUGGUUUUAACCUGUGUGCCAUUUUCUCCUCUUUAAAAUAAGAUGAGAUAAUAAAAGUUCCUACUGCAUAGGGUUGUGUGAAGAUGGAAUUGUAUAACACAUGGAAUGCUUAGAUCAGUAUCUAGUCCAUAAAUUAUCACCAACUGUUUUAUUAUUAUGAAAAACCAUCUUGGCCUUGGAGAUCAGAAAACUGAAACAGGAGAUGGUGCGGACAGAUGUCAGCCUGGAAAAUGGCCUGGAACCCGCUGAAGCUCGCAGCAUGGUUAGACACAAGGAUGAUGGCUAUUCUGAGGAAGAGGACAUGAAGGCCUGUGCCCGGGACUCAGGCUAUGACAGCCUCUCCAACAGGCUCAGCAUCUUGGACCGGCUCCUCCACACUCACCCCAUAUGGCUGCAGCUGAGUCUGAGUGAGGAGGAGGCAGCAGAGGUCCUGCAGGCCCAGCCUCUGGGGAUCUUCCUGGUUCAUAAGUCUACAAAAAUGCAGAAGAAAGUCCUCUCUCUACGCCCACCCUGUGAAUUUGGGGCCCCACUCAAGGAAUUUGCCAUAAAGAAAAGCACAUACACGUUUUCCCUGGAAGGCUCAGGAAUCGGUUUUGCAGAUUUAUUCCGGCUCAUUGCUUUCUACUGCAUCAGCAGGGAUGUUCUGCCGUUUACCUUGAAGUUGCCUUAUGCCAUUUCAACAGCCAAGUCGGAGGCUCAGCUUUAAGAACUGGCCCAGAUGGGACUAAAUUUCUGGAGCUCCCCAGCUGACAGCAAGCCCCCGAACCCUCCAACUCCCCACAGGCCCUUCUCCCCUGACGGCGUCUGUCCUGCCUCCCUGCGUCAGCUCUACCUUAUAAAUGGAGUGCAUUCUAUCAAAACCAGGACGCCUUCGGAGCUGGACUGCAGCCAGACCAACGGGGCCCUGUGCUUUAUUAAUCCCCUUUUCUUGAAAGUGCACAGCCAGGACCUCAGCGGAGGCCUGAAGCGGCCGGAGCACAAGGACUCCCAACGCGAAUGGCACGGAGCGGCCUCUGUCCCCUCCAACCCAGGCCCCCGCCACCCGCUAUUAAUAGUCUGCACACAAGCCCUCAGCUGGCCAGGACCAAAACCCAGACGAGCAUGCCAGAAACAGUCAACCAUAACAAACAUAGGAACAUAGCUCUGCCUGGUACGAAACCAACUCCCAUCCCUCCACCCCUGCUGAAGAAGCAGGCUUUUUUUCUGGAAGCAGAGGGUGGCGCAAAGACCUCGAGCGGCAGCGGCCGGCAGGGCGCAGGCCUGGAGCUGGAGCUGGGUGCAGCUGGCCGCCCAGGUGGGACCCCUCCUGAGGCCUCCCCAGGCGAUUGCACAAGCGCCCCGCUGCCCAGCUCUGAAUCACGGCCCCCGUGCCAUGGAGGCCGGCAGCGGCUGAGCGACAUGAGCAUUUCCACUUCCUCCUCCAACUCGCUGGAGUUCUACCGGAGCAUGCCUCUGUUCGGCUAGGCUAUGAGGCGGACACCAACAGCAGCGUGGAGGACUACGAGGGGGCGAGUGACCAGGAGACCAUGGCGCCCCCUAUCAAGUCCAAAAAGAAAAGGAGCAGCUCCUUCGUGCUGCCCAAGCUCGUCAAGUCCCAGCUGCAGAAGGUGAGCGGGGUGUUCAGCUCCUUCAUGACCCCGGAGAAGCAGAUGGUCCGCAGGAUCGCUGAGCUGUCCCGGGACAAAUGAACCUACUUCGGGUGCCUGGUGCAGGACUACGUGAGCUUCCUGCAGGAGAACAAGGAAAACCACGUGUCCAGCACCGACAUGCUGCAGACCAUCCGGCAGUUCAUGACCCAGGUUAAGAACUAUUUGUCUCAGAGUGCGGAGUUGGAAGACCAAAUAGAUGUGGUGCUGGAGAAAGCCAUCCAUGCACAAGUGCAUCUUGAAACCCCUGAAGGGACACGUGGAGGCCAUGCUGAAGGACUUUCACAUGGCCGACGGCUCGUGGAAGCAACUCAAGGAGAACCUACAGCUUGUGCGGCAGAGGAAUCCGCAGGAGCUGGGGGUCUUCGCCCCGACCACUGAUUUUGUGGAUGUGGAGAAAAUCAAAGUCAAGUUCAUGACCACACAUAUGUAGUCCCCAGAAAAGAAAGUCAUGCCGCUGCUGCGGGUCUGCAAGCUCAUUUACACCGUCAUGGAGAACAACUCAGGGAGGAUGUAUGGUGCUGAUGACUUCUUGCCAGUCCUGACCUAUGUCAUAGCUCAGUGUGACAUGCUUGAAUUGGACACUGAAAUUGAGUACAUGAUGGAGCUCCUAGACCCAUCGCUGUUACAUGGAGAAGGAUGCUAUUACUUGACAAGCGCAUACGGAGCACUUUCUCUGAUAAAGAACUUCCAAGAAGAACAAGUAGCAUGACUGCUCAGCUCAGAGACCAGAGACACCCUGAGGCAGUGGCACAAACAGAGAACCACCAACUGGACCAUCCCUUCUGUGGACGACUUCCAGAAUUACCUCUGAGUUGCAUUCCAGGAGGUCAAUAGUGGCUGCACAGGAAAGAUUCUCCUCGUGAAAUCUUACAUCACCACCGAGGAUGUGUGUCAGCUCUACGCUGAGAAGUUCAAGGUGGGGGACCCUGAGGAGUACAGCCUCUUUCUCUUUAUUGACGAGGCAUGGCAGCAGCUGGCAGAGGACACUUACCCUUAAAAAAUCAAGAGCUAUGCAGCCGACUUCAGCCCCACAUCUUCCACUUUGUCUACAAAUGCACCAAGGAUGAUCCUUACGGCGUCAUUUUCCAGAACAGGGAAGAAGACCUCACCACCUCCUAGAAGACAGGUGGGACUUCCUAGUGGUGCAACCAAAGGGGAGCUGGAAGCCUUGCCUUCCGGCUUCUAUGUGCUUGAGCUUGAAGAGCAGUCACCUCCUUGGGGGCCCCUCAGUUUAGUGACUAAGCCAUCCACAGGCCAACUGGGCCAAGGGCAACUUUAGCCAUGCAAAGUAGCUGAGGUUCGUGAAACAGUAGGAGUCUCUUUUGGCAAUGGAGAAUUGCAUUUGAUGGUUCAAGUGUCCUGAGAUUGUUUGCUGCCUACCCCUAGUCAGGUUCUAGGUUGGCUUACAUGUAUGUAGAUGUGCAGAAGAAACACUUAAGGCACAAGCUCUUUUGAAUUCAACAGCAGAUGUUUGACAAGACUGUCCGAUGCAGUGCGUCAGGUAAUUCUCACUCCUGUGGAUGGCUUCAUCCCUUCCUUUCUUCCUUCCUUUCUUUUUCCUUUUGUUUUUUUUUACGAAUAGCCUUCAUGUUUUUAUAUAUUUCAUAGAAAUUUUUAUAGCGGUUGCAAGUAAACUGUCAGGAUUGGUUUUUAAAAUAUUUUUGUAACUUUAAAAUGUUCUAUAAUUAUGCAUGUGAUUUUAACAUUUAAUAUUCAAAAAUAAAUCUCUUGCUGGAUUUGAGAGUAUUGCAUUUUAAAAGUCUCUCUUCUGUAACUGGAUGUUUUGGCAACUUUGUGGGGAGAGACAGCUGGAUUUCUUAAAGCCAUGUAUUCCUGACACUGGCCACAGAAUGCCUUUGGAAAUCGGAUGUACUGUUAUCUUGGUCACGUUUAGUGGUGUUUUGCUCUUUUGUUUUUUAAACAAAUGAUAUUGAGAAUAAGGAGAGAAACGAAUGUAGAGAGAGCUAGAGAGAGAAAUACGGACUCUAACAAAGGACUGAGGAGUGCAGUCUGCUGGUUCAGGCUCUUCGAAAGAUAUGGAAAAAGAGAACGAACUACCUAUAUUUAAAAUACUGUAAAUAUGCAAUGAGGUUUGGCAAAAUCUACUCCAUGUGUGAUUUGCUUUUAGAAACAAUUUUGAAAGCCCCCUGAGGAAAAUAAAAAUCGGGACUCCAUGUUUGGAUCCCCUUCCAUGAACACUCCCUUAGUUGAAGCUGUUUUUCUCUAUUGUGGAUUUUCCUUCUGGGGUCCCCUUCCACACUCUCUCGUGGAAGCCUGUCUUCCCUUCCUAAACUCUAUCUCUCUCUAUUCCCUUCCACUCAAUGUGGAGCUGCUUUCCUCUCCUGGAUUGCAUCUUUCUGGAUUCUCUCACUCAGUGUGAUAGUUGUUUCUUUCUCUCUCCUUCUCCUGUUUCUCUCUCUUUAAAUAAAUCACUUCCUACAAACAAACAAACAAAAAAAUAAAGAAGAAUGCCUUUUCUCCCCUUUCCAUAGAAAUUAAAACUAACAGCAUCAAGCUAUUGGGACCUGAAACCAAAUAAUGUAUAAUGUGGCUUUUGUGGAGUUAAAUAAGAUGCUGUACAAUGGAGAAAAAAUUGGAAAUACACACAAAAAAACUACAUUAUCAGAAUCUACAGUGAAAUUAAACUUACGGGGGCUGGGCGCAGUGACUCACGCCUAUAAUCCCAGCACUUUGGGAGGCCGAGGUGGGUGGAUCACGAGGUCAAGAGAUGGAGACCAUCCUGGUCAACAAGGUGAAACCCCGUCUCUACUAAAAUACAAAAAAUUAGCUGGGCAUGGUCGUGCGCACCUGUAGUCCCAGCUACUCGGGAGGCUGAGGCAGGAGAAUUGCUUGAACCCAGGAGGCGGAGGUUGCGGUGAGCUGAGAUAGUGCCUUUGCACUCCAGUCUGGGUAACGACAGCGAAACUCCAUCUCAAAAAAAAAAAAAAAAAAGAAAUUAAACUUACGUUAAAUAAAACCAGUUUGCAGGUGCACAAACGAUGAGGGUCUUGUAUCCAUGUAACACAGGUAGUUACAAAAACACAAUAUUGUACUGUGUAAAGAUGCAUAGUCAUCUAAUUUGGUUGGCUUUGAACCUUGUACCUUUUUCAGCCUUGGCUUUUGUUGAACUAGAACCCUCAGCAUAUACUGUGUUGUACUUUCUUUUGUAAAUGAUUUUUUAAAUGGAAUUUUGCACAUAAUACAUUGUAAUACUGUAUGAUAAUCAUGUGUGAAAAUAAUUUUUGAAAUGUCAAA